GGCUCAGAGCUAGCCCUGUCCUUGCUGCUCCUUGUCACCUGUGGAGAACCACCUCCACGUGGGGAAUGAAGGAAGCCCUGGCCACAGGUGUGCCAGCAGCAGAAAAGCUCCCUGAGCUGAUGGAGCCACCUGGGGAACACUGGGCCCUAUAAAAGGGGAGGCAGUAGGGUUUGCUCUCCUCUCAGUACUGCCAGCAGCAGGAUACGGAGGAGGAUGAGGAGAGGAGGAAGUGGAGCUCCCAGCUUAAGGAGCGUGGAGGUUAUUCCAUGUUGCCUUGUUUGGAGAAGUUUUGGGGCACCAUUGCUGGGAAGGAGGUAUGUAAAGGGGUAUGGCACUUAGGGCCUCCAUGAGGGGAGCCCCAAGGAGGACAGUUUGUACUGGCUGGGUGCUUGGUGCAUGUGAUGCCCAGCUCCCCUUGGGUGGAUGCUUUGGCUGAAGCUCCAAACCACUUGAAAGGGGCUGGGGCUUGUUCCUGCCUCUGAGUCAGCGGAGCCUUGAGGUUAGGGCAGGGCUCUGAGUCAUGGAUGCUGGAGCUGCUGGGUGCCAAAAUGUUUUCUGAUGGAACAGACUAAAAGUUGCCCUUGGCAUUGAGAGAGAACCUGAGCAGGGACAGGCCAAGCGUCUGAUUCGGGGAUGGAGGGGGCAGCAUGUUCUCAGUACUAAAGCUGGUGGCUCAGGGAGGUCUUGGUGCCUGACUGGUCCUCAGCGUCCUGAUGCUGGCAUAAGGAAGGGCUGUAUCUUCUUCCCCACUGAGCUUCUGCCUCGGGCAGGUGGGUGAAUGGGGGUGUGAUAUGUCAGUCCCAUGCACAUGCAUGUCUCCUCUGGGCAGAGAGGAGUUCUCAGGCUUGACCUGCCCAGAGAGGAGCUGCCAGGCAUGGGGUGCUUCUGCCUGAGAGCCAAGACCAGCUGCUAUGGAGCAAUGUGGAGAGAAUAGCUUCAGGACAGCUGUUGCUCCUCAGUUGGAUACCCUGGAUGGGCCAUAAGGUGGUACUUGGAAGUCUGUUGUGAAGGCUUGACUCCAAAAUAUCCCUAAUUAGAGGAUUCCAGAUAGAGGAGGCUCCUGGGCUGGGUUAGAGGAGCUCCCUGUCCCCAGCAUGAUGUUCUCUGCUAGACAUGUUGGGUCCAUCUUAGCGGUCCACAUCACAGCUCCUCAUCACCCUGUGCCUACCCACAGCCCCUGACCUGAGCAGUGUGUCAUCUCUAUAUGGUCUCUUGGCAGGGGAUGGAGUUGCUCAUGCCUUGGCCUGUACUACCAAUGAUUGGUGCUGCUGCAGGAGGCUGUCACUGAGCAUGGCUUGGCCACCAGCCCUGGGCUGGGAGCAGAGCCUCAGUGUGAGGAUGCAGGGUGCCAGCUCUAGCGCCUCUGGUCUUCAGUGCUGUGUUCCCUAAAUCUCCCUGAGCCCAGAGAGGGGUGUGGGGUGUGGUGGGACAGCUGCUGCAAAUUAGUCCUCACUGCUAAAUUGCCUCUGUGCCCUCCCCCCCCCCUUCCCCGAAAAGCAAGCUGCAAACCCCUCUGAGUUUAUGAUCUGCGAGUUCAUGCAGCCUCCAUUAAUUUUAUGAGUAGAUUUUCCUAUAUCUGAUCUCAUAUAUCAGCUGUGGGAGCAGGAGGUGGGGAGGGGAGGGAGAUUUGAUGUAAGCCUGGGCUAACAUGCAGUGCUGCUGGCAGGGCAGGCAUGUGAGUGGUUGGCCUUGGGGCCAUUGCUUCUUCUGCUUAUGGGGCUGCUUUGGGUCUCCUCAGGCAGCAGGGACUUCUGAAGCCCCCCAGGUUUGGUGCUCUGUGAUGUGGGAUUAUAAUUGGAGAAUCACAGUGGUUCAGGUUGGAGAAGGCCUUAAGAUCAUUGGGUGAACCAUCAGCUUAACACUGCAAGUCUGCCACUGAGCAGUGUCUGUCAGUGCCACAUCUCUCUAAAUACCUCCAGGGAUGGGGACUCCAUUGCUUCCCUGGGCAGCCCAUUCCAAUGCCUAGCCUCUCUUUGCAUGGAAUUCUUUCAGACAUCUGACUGAAAUAGAAUCAUUUAGGUUGGAAAAGACUCUUAAGAUCAUCAGGUAAUUCUCCCAUACUGUCCCACCAAGAAUCGUCCCAUUCUGCAGGAUGGAGGACCAGGGAAAUGUGGUCAAAUGGGGAUGAGAACUGAGGAGGCGGCCAAAUGCACCCCAAAAGCAAAAGAGGUGGGAACCUGACAAGGCUAUGAGUCCUUGGAUGUGUGCAUGGAGUUGAGGGGGAGCUGGGGACCCUUUCUCCAAGGAGGAAAGGAUCCUGGAGCUGGGGAGAGCUUUGUUGGCAGGGUGCAGGGCACCAGGCUGGAAAUGCUGACACUAUCUCAUGCUCAUUUAAUGAAUGAUGGCCUCAAGUUGGGCCAGGGAAUGUUCAGGUUGAGUAUUAGGAGCAUUUUCUUCUCAGAAAGAGUGGUUGGGCACUGGCAGAGGAUGCCCAGGGAGGUGCUGAGGUCACUGUUCCCAGAGGUGUUCAAGAACCAUGGAGAUGGGACACGGUGGGGUAGGCUGGGGUUGGACCUGAAGUUCUUAGAGGUCUUUCCAACCUCUAUGAUUCUGCUCCAUUUCUCCUUUCCACCUUGUGGGCUCCAGCCCAGGUGUGACUUGUCCUCAAGGGAUGUGAGCAGUGUUGCAGAGAUCCUGCCUGGAGCGGGCCCUGCUCCCUGCCCUACAAUUUGUCUGAAGCUCUCUCCUAGGCUUUAUUUAUUUUUCCAGCAGUGCUUUGUUUCCACUGAUUACCAGGGUCGUUUUUUGAUGAUCUGGUCAUUCCUUUUGAAUUAAACCUGAUGAUUUUUAUUCGCCUUGCCAGCGCUUUGUAUUUGUUUCCCAACUGGCAGCACUUAGGAAUUUCUUAGCAGCUUUAUGUUGAAAUACUUUGGGGAUUUUUUUUUUCCCAGGAUCAAUUUUGCAGUGGAAAAAUCCCAUUUUUCAGCUAUCUCUGUGCAUUGAUUCCGACAGAGCGCCCUGUCCCAAACCAACAGUAACCAAACCACAGAAAUUGUUCUCAAAGAAGCGAUCAAAAAGGAGAGAAAAAGAAACCAACUAGAAUUUCUUUUUCUUUCUAUAUUCUGAGAAAGCAUGUGAAUUGUCCUGCUUUCAAUUCUUCCCAGAACAUCGUAGUGAUGUUACAAAUUUAGUCAUAAAGCUGCGGUUGAAUUAUAGUUAUCAUUGUAAAACAAUAAUAACUAUGCAGAUACUUAUUAUGGUGAAUUAAGUUACAAUGAUAGUAAAUCUGUCAUAAUAACCAUGGCAACUCUCUUAGCCACGCAGUAGGAAUCCUGCGAUGUUAUUGAUAAAAUCUGCUGAACUCUGCUGUCUUACCCUCCGCAGAGCCGCUGCAGCGUUUUAUUGUAAAUGGUGAUUAAAUGAUGCAAACCAUAUCUCCCCCAGCAGUCAUUUGUUCUCUUCCUUUGCAUGAAGGCCUGAGUCGGACCCAUUAAAUGCUCUGUGAUUUAGCAGGCGGGACUGGGGGGCUGCAGGUGGGAUGUCCUGGGGGAACCGGGCUCAGAACUAAAGGAAGGGCUUGGUUGGUGUAUUGGGAUGGCUGGUGUUGGGUUGGACUGGAAAUGGGGAGUCCUGGGGUUUGUUGGUGUAUUGGGAUGGCUGGCGUUGGGUUGGACUGCGCAUGGAGAGUACCCCCAAAAUGUUUGGUGUGGAGGAUGCUGAGCCCUCCUUAGGGCUGGAGGUGGUUGGGGGAGUUGAGGCUGGAGCAGGUUGGUGGCCACAGUGUGGUGAUGCUCUAUCCUUUAUGGCCCCACAUCACUCACCCCUGGCCCUGCCCAGCCCCGCUAGCGCCAGGAUAAUCCUCAAGAAAAACUGUUCCCAUGAAUUUCCCAAACUUGUUUUCAGGGUGAGGGAAGAUGACACUUCUCCAGAUGCCUCCAGGAGCCAAACCACAGCAGCUCCUUCCUAGUUGCCACCAACCUCAUGGAUGUCCAACCUUACAUGUGGAUGGAGCAAUGGAUGAGGUGCUGGAUGCUCAGCGCUUUCCCCUUGCCUAUGGCUGAAUGUCGGCCGAUGCUGUUUGCUAAACAAGAGUGCCGGUGGCAGAGGAAUUAGAAGAAAUCCCUUCUUAAUUGGAAACAGGACAAAUCCAGGCAAACGGGUGCUGAGCCAGCAACAGCAUGGGACCAGCUCGCCUUCUGUGGGUAUCAUUGAAAUUCAGCAUCCUUCACUGCCUCAAACAUUGAGGUCCUGCAGGUAUGACUUUGCUUCAUGUGGAUCUCCAAAGUUGCUAAAGAUGCUAAUGAACCUCUACUGUAAGGUCUGAAAUCAUCCAGGAUGACAGCAGAUCUUUCCCAAAGGCUGCCCAGGUCAGGAAGGGGGGGAACUGCAGAGGCAAAGCAGGAGGAAGUAAGAAGGAUGCUUGUCCCAGUGCCCUACUCAACUACCUUCUCUGGCGUGGCUUUGAGGGGGGCCCAGAGGUGGAAGGAGUGGAAAUCUGGCUCCAGGUGGCAGUCCUGAUUUGCAUGUCCACUCUUUGGAGCUCCCAAGCACCUCCUUAGGCAGUUGACCUGAUCACAGGUAGUGGGGUACUGAGCCACGUUGGAGCCUUGCUAUUGUAGCUGCAGCGUACUCUGGGGAGAAAAAUAUGGAAGGGGGAGGCUUGUAUCUCCUUGGAAAAAGCUGGGGUGUGCAUUUGGCUUUCUCCUGAGUCUUCUUGUUUUGCCUCUGAGCUGCCCCCUCCUCAUGCAUUCCUGCACAAACCCCCUUUGUUUGCUGCCCUCAGUCAGGAUCCAGGCAGCAACAGCCCAGAUGUUCCCUAUCAAACUCAGAGCCAUGCCAACAAACUUUGGCACACAUGAAAGUGUGCUGAGGAAUGGGCCUCUGCAAAUACCAUUCUUUCCCCCCU
ensembl:lncRNA